UCAGGAUGAACGCUAGCUACAGGCUUAACACAUGCAAGUCGAGGGGAAACGACAUCGAAAGCUUGCUUUGAUGGGCGUCGACCGGCGCACGGGUGAGUAACGCGUAUCCAACCUGCCCACCACUUGGGGAUAACCUUGCGAAAGUAAGACUAAUACCCGAUGAUAUCCCUAGAAGACAUCUGAAAGGGAUUAAAGAUUUAUCGGUGAUGGAUGGGGAUGCGUCUGAUUAGCUUGUUGGCGGGGUAACGGCCCACCAAGGCAACGAUCAGUAGGGGUUCUGAGAGGAAGGUCCCCCCACAUUGGAACUGAGACACGGUCCAAACUCCUACGGGAGGCAGCAGUGAGGAAUAUUGGUCAAUGGGCGAGAGCCUGAACCAGCCAAGUAGCGUGCAGGAUGACGGCCCUAUGGGUUGUAAACUGCUUUUAUAAGGGAAUAAAGUGGGUCACGUGUGACUUUUUGCAUGUACCUUAUGAAUAAGGACCGGCUAAUUCCGUG
rnacentral:rRNA from 1 species